UCGUGCUAGGUGGGGAGCUAGCGGUGCCCUGAACCCGCAAUCCGCUCUAGCGGGGCUGAAUCCCCCUCCUAGGCCCAGCCUCAGGCCCAUGUCCGCGGGGAUAACGUUGAUAGCCGGGUCCUGCGCGGCGGAAACCCGCGAACCCCGCCAGGUCCGGAAGGAAGCAACGGUAAACGGGGCCUUCCGAGCGCCGCAGGUCUGCCUGGUUUGAGUUACCCCGUAGGAUACGCUUUGGGGUCAUGGUCAACGAGGGGUGCACGG
rnacentral:SRP_RNA from 1 species